AUCUGGGAGGCCACAAACCAUGGAAGCUGUACGCAUGGCGUAGUGGACUAGCGGUUAGAGGAGACCCCUCCCUUGCAAGUCGCAGCAACAAUGGGGGCCCAAGGUGAGAUGAAGCUGUAAUCUCACUGGAAGGACUAGAGGUUAGAGGAGACCCCCCCGAAAUAAAAAACAGCAUAUUGACGCUGG
rnacentral:lncRNA from 1 species